rnacentral:tRNA from 2 species
CGCGGGAUGGAGCAGUUGGUAGCUCGUCGGGCUCAUAACCCGAAGGUUGCAGGUUCAAAUCCUGCUCCCGCAACCA